GACGAACGCUGGCGGCGUGCCUAAUACAUGCAAGUCGAACGCUGAAGGAGGAGCUUGCUUCUCUGGAUGAGUUGCGAACGGGUGAGUAACGCGUAGGUAACCUGCCUGGUAGCGGGGGAUAACUAUUGGAAACGAUAGCUAAUACCGCAAAAGAGUAGAUGUUGCAUGACAUUUGCUUAAAAGGUGCAAUUGCAUCACUACCAGAUGGACCUGCGUUGUAUUAGCUAGUUGGUGGGGUAACGGCUCACCAAGGCGACGAUACAUAGCCGACCUGAGAGGGUGAUCGGCCACACUGGGACUGAGACACGGCCCAGACUCCUACGGGAGGCAGCAGUAGGGAAUCUUCGGCAAUGGACGGAAGUCUGACCGAGCAACGCCGCGUGAGUGAAGAAGGUUUUCGGAUCGUAAAGCUCUGUUGUAAGAGAAGAACGAGUGUGAGAGUGGAAAGUUCACACUGUGACGGUAUCUUACCAGAAAGGGACGGCUAACUACGUG
rnacentral:rRNA from 1 species